UACGGAGGGGGCUAGCGUUGUUCGGAAUUACUGGGCGUAAAGCGCACGUAGGCGGAUUGUUAAGUCGGGGGUGAAAUCCUGGAGCUCAACUCCAGAACUGCCUUCGAUACUGGCGAUCUCGAGUUCGGGAGAGGUGAGUGGAACUGCGAGUGUAGAGGUGAAAUUCGUAGAUAUUCGCAAGAACACCAGUGGCGAAGGCGGCUCACUGGCCCGAUACUGACGCUGAAGUGCGAAAGCGUGGGGAGCAAACAGG
rnacentral:rRNA from 1 species